rnacentral:rRNA from 1 species
GACGAACGCUGGCGGCGUGCUUAACACAUGCAAGUCGAACGGAAAGGCCCUGCUUUUGUGGGGUGCUCGAGUGGCGAACGGGUGAGUAACACGUGAGUAACCUGCCCUUGACUUUGGGAUAACUUCAGGAAACUGGGGCUAAUACCGGAUAGGAGCUCCUGCUGCAUGGUGGGGGUUGGAAAGUUUCGGCGGUUGGGGAUGGACUCGCGGCUUAUCAGCUUGUUGGUGGGGUAGUGGCUUACCAAGGCUUUGACGGGUAGCCGGCCUGAGAGGGUGACCGGCCACAUUGGGACUGAGAUACGGCCCAGACUCCUACGGGAGGCAGCAGUGGGGAAUAUUGCACAAUGGGCGGAAGCCUGAUGCAGCAACGCCGCGUGCGGGAUGACGGCCUUCGGGGUGUAAACCGCUUUGGCCUGUGACGAAGCGUGAGUGACGGUAAUGGGUAAAGAAGCACCGGCUAACUACAUG